rnacentral:sRNA from 1 species
CUUUAGCUCCGAUAGAAGUGGAAAUCCUUGUAAGCCGGGGUUCGGCUUACGAGAUUAUAACGAAUAACGGGACUAAUG